rnacentral:lncRNA from 1 species
GUCUUCUCCAUCUGGUACUCUGGGGUUCUGUCGAUCAAGUGUUCUGCACGACCGAGCGUGCUUGUCAGCGAGUUGCGUUCUCACCGCAGUCGAGAUGUUCAACCAUUGCAGCAAUGGUGGACCAAGAGCAGCAGAGUUCAAGGACUAUCAAAUGCUGGGUGAAGAGGAGAAGUCUGGAGGUCGGCGAAAGUGAAGGUGAUUCCGUGAGCGGCUCCUGCGGGGUGCGUCUGCUUCGAAGAACUCGCUCAAAUCGGGGAAGAAGCGUCGAUUAAAGGCAGCCGCGACGUCAACGAGUGCUUACGCGAACGAAUGCGUGACCACCCUGUACGCAUUGGAUAUGCCCCUAGACUCUGCGCUAUAUUUAUGCGCUGGACGUCGUAUAUGUACAUAUUUGUCGUGAUUAUUUUGGAUAAUUUUGUACUGCGUUAUUCUUUUUAGCUGGUCUUGUUAUUGUUUGUUUAGUAGCACGACCAUGUUCACGGAUGGGUUAGCCGGCUAGAACAUUGGCUGACCUGCCAUGUUUUCCGUGUAUAAGAUUACAGAAAAGUUAUUAAAAGGUGCGUGCGGUUG